CCUACGGGAGGCAGCAGUAGGGAAUUUUGCGCAAUGGGCGAAAGCCUGACGCAGCAACGCCGCGUGAUCGAGACGCCCUUCGGGGUGUAAAGAUCUGUCAGUGGGGACGAAACUUGACGGUACCCACAGAGGAAUCACCGGCUAACCCCGUGCCAGCAGCCGCGGUAAUACGGGGGGUGCAAGCGGUGUCCGGGAUCAUUGGGCGUAUAGGGAGCGUAGGCGGGAGCACAAGUCUGGAGUGAAAUGCCUGGGCUUAACCCCGGAACUGCUUUGGAAACUGUGCAGCUAGAGUGCAGGAGAGGUAAGUGGAAUUCCUAGUGUAGCGGUGAAAUGCGUAGAUAUUAGGCGGAACACCAGUGGCGAAGGCGGCUUACUGGACUGUAACUGACGUUGAGGCUCGAAAGCGUGGGGAGCAAACAGGAUUAGAUACCCUUGUAGUC
rnacentral:rRNA from 1 species